rnacentral:piRNA from 1 species
UGCAUGCUACAAGCCUACUUGGACUU